UACGGAGGGUGCAAACGUUGCUCGGAAUCAUUGGGCGUAAAGCGCACGUAGGCGGCCUGAUAAGUCGGGUGUGAAAGCCCUGGGCUCAACCCAGGAAGUGCACUCGAAACUGUCAGGCUUGAAUAUGGAAGAGGGUCGCGGAAUUCCCGGUGUAGAGGUGAAAUUCGUAGAUAUCGGGAGGAACACCAGUGGCGAAGGCGGCGACCUGGGCCAAUAUUGACGCCGAGGUGCGAAAGCGUGGGGAGCAAACAGG
rnacentral:rRNA from 1 species